UAGGGAAUCUUCGGCAAUGGGGGCAGCCCUGACCGAGCAACGCCGCGUGAGUGAAGAAGGUUUUCGGAUCGUAAAGCUCUGUUGUAAGAGAAGAACGUGUGUGAGAGUGGAAAGUUCACACAGUGACGGUAACUUACCAGAAAGGGACGGCUAACUACGUGCCAGCAGCCGCGGUAAUACGUAGGUCCCGAGCGUUGUCCGGAUUUAUUGGGCGUAAAGCGAGCGCAGGCGGUUUAAUACGUCUGAAGUUAAAGGCAGUGGCUUAACCAUUGUUCGCUUUGGAAACUGUUAAACUUGAGUGCAGAAGUGGAGAGUGGAAUUCCAUGUGUAGCGGUGAAAUGCGUAGAUAUAUGGAGGAACACCGGUGGCGAAAGCGGCUCUCUGGUCUGUAACUGACGCUGAGGCUCGAAAGCGUGGGGAGCAAACAGG
rnacentral:rRNA from 1 species